CAUGGGCGCAGCUGACAGCCAUCCGGUGCAGACGAAGGCCUUCGGGUUGUAACUGCUUUUGUACGGAACGAAAAGGUCCUGUUAAUACCCGGGGCUCAUGACGGUACCGUAAGAAUAAGCACCGGCUAACUACGUGCCAGCAGCCGCGGUAAUACGUAGGGUGCAAGCGUUAAUCGGAAUACUGGGCGUAAAGCGUGCGCAGGCGGUUAUGUAAGACAGAUGUGAAAUCCCCGGGCUCAACCUGGGAACUGCAUUUGUGACUGCAUACUAGAGUACGGCAAAGAGGGGGAUGGAAUUCCGCGUGUAGCAGUGAAAUGCGUAGAUAUGCGGAGGAACACCGAUGGCGAAGGCAAUCCCCUGGGCCUGUACUGACGCUUAUGCACGAAAGCGUGGGGAGCAAACAGGAUUAGAUACCCUGGUAGUCCACGCCCUAAACGAUGUCAAACUGGGGUUGAUUGGGUCCCUUCAC
rnacentral:rRNA from 1 species